UACGUAGGUGGCAAGCGUUGUCCGGAUUUACUGGGCGUAAAGAGCGCGCAGGCGGUCGGAUAAGUCGAAUGUGAAAGCCCCUGGCUCAACCAGGGAGGGUCAUUCGAUACUGUUCGACUCGAAGGCAGGAGAGGGAAGUGGAAUUCCGGGUGUAGUGGUGAAAUGCGUAGAUAUCCGGAGGAACACCAGUGGCGAAGGCGACUUUCUGGCCUGUUCUUGACGCUGAGGCGCGAAAGCUAGGGGAGCGAACAGG
rnacentral:rRNA from 1 species